UAUGGAAAACCCAGAUCAUCAUUAUAAAAAAAAAAUAAAACAAACGAGUACCAACACAACAAUUAAUGAAAACCUAAAACAUCCCUACCUAACGGUAAAGAAUAGCAAAGACACUUUGGGAAAAACAAACAAAAUCUCGGUAGUUGGGGGGGAAUGAAGCAUCAAAACCAGAGAAGUGCAUCCCCUUCAACCCCAAAGCAAAUUAUGCAUGUUAAAACUCCAGCUUCCAGCUUGCAAGAGCAAGAUAGACUCAUAAUUCUUUAAUCUGGCAGUGUCAGGUUCGAAAUCUCACCGUUCACCACAACGAUCGCCACCUCAGGUACAUCCUCCACCCAAAACCUAUCAUUAGAUAUCUUGAAUCUUUCUUGGGCAAUUAGAUGAGCCACCAUAUUCGCCCUGCAAUCAACAUGAUGGAAAGAUAUUUGCAUAAAUUGUGUAGCCCUAUUUUUUAUUUCGCCACAAAAGACCCAUUUCUGAUCUGUCUGCUUUCCCUGUUUAAUUUUGGCGAUUGUAGUGCGAGAGUAGCCCUUGACUUCAAUCUGUCGAAAGUCCAUCUUCGCCGCAAAUUUGAUGGCCUGCAGACAUGCAAGGGCUUCAGCAGAAAAAGAAUCGGAAACAUAACCAUUCAUGAUAGCCCCGCCGCCAAUGACUAGUCCCAGACCAUUUCUAAUAACAAACCCCAAACUGGAUUGGUGAAUAUGGGGUUUGAAAGCUGCAUCAAAAUUUAAUUUGACCACCGGGUCCUAGGGAGGUUGCCAUCGUUGCAACAUAGUAUCUCUUGGAGCAGGUAACUUCUGGUUUAACUCUUUCAUUUCAUUGGCAAGGCUAAAAACUCUAGAGCUAAUAUCCCUGACUGUUUGUUGUUUACCCUCCAUAACAUACUUAUUACGAGCCUGCCAAAGAGCCCAAAUUGUAAGGGCGAUAAAAUUUAUCGAGUUGCUAUCAGCAGACAAAAAAAUUGAGGAAAACCACUGUCAAAAACCCUCCUCAAUAACUGUAACGGGAUUUAUGCAAGUGUAUUUAGUCGUUCAAGUAAUAAGCAAGUAAAAAUGAGUAUCGUCUCUGCAAGGAGAGUAUAAUUUUAACCAAUUAGUUGAAAAAUUAUAAUUAACAGUAUGAUAUAAAAACUCAAUAAUUUGGAUGGUGAUGAUUAAACUAAGCAAAAUUAGUUAGAUGCAAAGAUUGAUCCUUAUGCAAUUCUAAUCUAGAUGCAAUUUACCUAAAUGCAUGAAUAAAUUACUUUAGCAACAAAAACAAUCAACAUUAAAUGGGCUAGGAUAAUUAUAUUUAUUAAUUCAAUUUAUUUUCAUAAUGCUUAACAUGUUCGGAAUUACUUCCAUGACAACUCGAUCUCUUAUGGGUUUGGAAACCAAAUUAAGUCCUCUCGGAUCUUUUACUUAGUGAAAUAUGCAUGUUACUGAUAAUAUUAAACUAAGGGUUUUUCAGAAUUCAUGCAAGGUCUCGAAGAAAUUUACGUUUGCAACAGUUUAAUUACAUAAACUUAAAAUCCAUGCAAGAUAAUAAAGCUAACUAAAGAUAUUAUGAACCUCAACUUAGUCGGGUUUAAUGACCUAAAUUGAGCAUUCAACUUUUCAAUUAUGCAUCUACUAGCCGUCGUCUGGUUAGGAUCGUUCAGCUAAUCUGAGUGCACUCAAUCACGUAUGAAUGAAAUGCAUCAUGAUAUUCAUUGAAAAUAUAAUCGACUGAGGCACAAAACAUGUUAACAUGAAUUAAAUAAAUUUAAUUAAAUUAAUAUAAUCAUCCUAGCAUAUAGGAAUUAAAACUUCAUAGUUGAUGUCAAAACAUAAAAUUCAAAGCAAACAUGAUUAAAACAAAUAACAAGAAGAAAGAGUAAAUUCUAUUCAGUUCAAUAGUCUUUUUGGAUCUAUUCUGACUGAAGUGCUCCUCAUUUUUAAUUGAUGCUUCGUUUGUUAAGUGUUUAACGAGUAGCUGGCUAAGAAGUGCUUUUGACAAAGUUUUUGAGGCUAAAGAAUGGAGGAGGAAUGGACAACUAUGCAAGGAAAAAAGGAAAAAAGAAUUGAGAUGAAACUAAUAAGAGUGAGAGAGGAAUGUUGAGGGAUGAGGGAUGAGGGAUGAUUGAGGGAUGGCAAGGUAUUUAUAGGUAAAGGUAAGGGUUUAGUUUACUAAAAAUAAGUUUAAAUUUCUUUCCUUCCUUCUCUCAUGUGGCCAGCCAUGCUUCAAUGAAUAAGGGAUGACCAAUUCUUCACCAUUUGAAUUUCAAAUUCAAGCUAAAAAUAGCUAUAAAGUAAACUUUCAACAGAGAAGUUGUUAGGCUGAAUUUUGAUUAUUUUUUAACUGUAAGGACCUUCAAUUAAUUAUCCCAAAACAUAGUUUGGGCAACCACCUUUAAGUGUUUGGGCUCUUAGUUUCACUUGUUGGAUGAUUUUUUAGUCAAAAACUUAGUAGACAUGUCCAUCUUUCAUCACCUUCUUUAUUGGGUCAAGUAGUCAACCUUAUGCCCCAAAUUGCAUGGUGUUGCCGUCCACAUGGAUAACUUGUACAUGUAUAUAUUUUAUUUAUUUAAAUCAUGUCUCCAAUGGACCUCCUACAUAGUGAACAAAUUUUGCUCUUUAUUUUUGAGAUUCUAAGCAAUCUUGUAUUUGCUUUUUAUUCUUCUGAACAAACUUACGUUUUUUUUAAAUAAUGUGAAGAGCAUGUACAUACUUUUAUAUAUUUCCUCAAACUUUGAUCACCAAGACAAAUUUAAUUAAGAUAGGUGCAAAAGAAUAGGAUGAAAAGAAAAAGAUGAUAAUGUGGCUUAUAAUGUAGGUAAUUUGCAAUAAACAGUCCACUAAGCUCAAAAAUUAAGCUUCAAGGGUUAAUUUAAUAAGGUCGGCUUCAAAGGCUCAAACGAUCCAAAGAAAGUGUGCCUAUAUCAUAUUAGAUUCUUAUACCUCCUAGGAUUUCACCUCAAGAAAGUUAUUAAGUCAAUUCUAAAGACUUAAACCUUUAUACAUGUUUAUUUCUAAAGAAAUUAAAAUUUCAUGGCAAAUACUACAUAAGACUAAAUAUCAUACAAGCAUUCCAUCACUCAAGAUAACAUACAAAUAACUUAGAUAAAAUCACAGAUCAUGCUUGCAUUUGAACAACCUUAUGAACAAAAAUUCUUUCUAAACAUUCAUUUAUUUCAGCAUAAGUAAAAUGAUUGAAGCAUACUUUAAAAUUCAUGUGAAAUAUCUUAUUAAAAAUUCAUGCGAAAUGUGUUAUCCCCUUUAAAAAGAAACAAUGUCCUCAUUGUGAAAAUAUCUUUAACUUUUGCAUAUUUCCAAUAAGCUUGUUGUUAGUUAUGCACAAAUUUCAUCAUAACCAUCAUAAUUGGCAAUUUCGAUUUCUUCACAGUAUUUGAAUAAGUAGGCCUAAGAAUAGUCAACUCAAGAUCAACACUUGGUUUCACUGGCUCAUCAGCAUUCGGCUCUUCUCUUGGUUCAAAGACUUUCGGUUCCUUUAUCGAUUUUGAAUUGUUUGGUUCUUCCUUAAAUUUUGCUUCUUCUGUCUCAUCAACUAAGUCAACUUCCGUUUCGGAUUCGUUUGAUAACUCAUCAGUUCAGGUGGGUUUAACUCAUGGACAUUCUUCACUAACAUUUCAAGAACAUGGGUUAUGAUGCAACCUUGAACAUACGAUCCCUUCAAGUUUGUAUUUGUUUUAGCAUGGGCCUUUAAGUAAAGUGAAGUUAUCAAUGAUGGAAAGUAAGCACUUCCGAUCUUAUUUCUGGCACAAUCAUGGAUCUCUUUAAAAAUAAUCUUCCCAACAUUGAUAGAUCUGUCAUAAUUGCAUACAAUAAAAGAGUUUGCUCCAUUGAGAUGGUGGAAUUGUGUGAGAUAGACAUGAAACUAUAUCAAACAAAGUAAAGUCGUACCUUGGUCAACGACUUUAGAUAUUCCCUUUGACAAGAAUGACUACUAUACUUCCUUAUAAUCUAUUAGGAUCCCGAAUUUGUCACAACAAUAAAUACUUAUUGAAGAAAAUAUCAAUUUAUGUUUGUCAUCAUGGAAAAGUACUCAUCUUCUUCAACAUCAAGUAGAUAAAACAAAUCAUUAAUGGAUUUAGAAGUUAGGGGUACCUUUUUCUUGCGAAAAAUGACAUCAGUAGCAUUCGGCUUAGUCAAAUUGGCAUAAAACUCUCAACCUAACCCCUCGUCGGGUAAUGAUCGUGCAUCGCAAAAAUAAUCCCAAUUGAGGGCAUCAAUCGUCUUUCGAAUCGGAAAAGGCACAACCAUCUUAUCAUUUCUUUUCAAGUUGAAACUUUUUUCCAACAUUAUAGGUUGAUUUUUAAAGAUUGAAUCAAACAUUUCUUUCACUUUUUCAUCUUGAAUCACAAUGAGAUUUUCGGCAGAGGUCUUGGAAGAUCUAGUUCUUUUGCGAGACAUAGUGACUUUUCUCGAAAAGUAGGAAGAAUUUCGGCAAUAGGAAUGGAGAUGAUUUGAGAAUGGUUGGAAGUAAGGUUUUGCGACGACUAUCAGCUUGCGGCAACAAUAGAAUUACGGCGGUGCGCAGCUUGCGACGAUGAUAGGAUGUUGUGAUGAUAGGAGUGUGGUAGCGGAAGGGUUGCUCUAACAAAAAGCUUGUAGUGGCAAGACUAGGGUUUUGCGACAAAUGAAGGAUUUUGGGGAAAUUUUCAAGAUUUAGGCCGACGGUUAAGAGGAAAAAGAAUGAGUGGUUAUGGUUUAAGCUAAUUGCUUGAAGGGUUGUGAAAAUUAUGGUGGUAGAGAGGGGUUUAUCUAGUACUGAAUUAGGGCAAAUUUGUAGUAAAAUUUUAGCUACUUAGGGUGACUUGGGCGGCAAGUAUGGAUGGAGGGAAAAAGUGGUGGCAAAAAUUAGGGUUUUGGGAACCCUUAUGGACGGCAACAAUGGGUAAAUUUCUCCUCUUUGAUGUUUCAAGCCUUAAGUCCAAACUAGACUGCCUAAAAAUAAAUAAACUGAUUAGCACUUAGGCCAAUUUGACCCUCUUUAUUAAACAUAAACAAAUUAAAAUUAAAGGCAAAGAUAAAAAUGAAAAAUAAAAAUAAAACUAAAAAUAAAAGUUUUAAAAAUGAUUAGAAAUUUUCUUCUCAAAAUAUUACAUUAAAUUAAUUCCCAAGAAAGGUUGGAGGGGUCACAAUGAUCCCGCUUAAGUUCCAAUCUCUUUAGACAGAAUUAAUUAAAUGUACUAAAUUAAGAAAAUGAUUUCUAACUUUUUAUUAAAAAUUAAAAUUAUGAAAAAUUAAGGGUCUAAUAAUUUGAACAAUGUUUUAAUUCACUCAAUUUCACCGUCCCAAUAGUGCUUGAGGCGUUGACCAUUAACUUUAAAAUUACCUUCAUAGUUGUCGUACAAUUCUACAGCUCCAUAUGAAUAAACUUUGUGAAUGGUAUAAGGUCCUUUCCAUCAAGAUUUGAGCUUUCCAGGAAAUAACCUUAGCUUCGAAUUAAACAACACUUUCUAACCUUCUUUGAACUCAUGAGGUUGAAUACGACUAUCAUGCCAUCUAUUAUAUUUUUCUUUACACAUCUUAGCAUUCUCGUAUAAAAAUAACCUUAACUCCUCCAAUUCAUUAAGUUGUAACAUCCUUCUCUCACCGUCUGUCUUAAGAUCAAAAUUCAAUUGUUUUAAAGCGCAGUGAGCUUUAUUCUUCAAUUCAAGCGGUAAAUGACAUGCCUUUCCAAAAACUAACCGAUAGGGAGUCAUUCCUAAUGGUGUCUUAAAAGCAGUACGAUAGGCCCAUAGUGCAUCAUCGAGCCUUCGAGACCAAUCUGUUCUGUUAGGGCGCACUACUCUUUCAAGAAUACUUUUGAUUUCUCGAUUCACCCUUUCACCUUGCUCAUUCGAUUGUGGACGAUAGGUAGUAGCAAUCUCAUAUUUCACAUUAUAUCUGUCAAGCAAUCACUUAAGCCACUUAUUUAUAAAGUGAUAUCCUUCAUCGCUAAUUAUAGCUCUAUGAGUCCUAAACCGUGUAAAUACGUGCUUAUGUAGGAAUCGCAUGACUACCUUAUAAUCAUUAGUUGGGUAUGUCUCGGCUUCAACCCACUUAGACACAUAGUCCACAACUACCAAGAUAUACUUGUUCCUAUAAGAAAAAGGAAAUGGGCCUAAAAAUCAAUGGCCCAUACAUCGAAAAUUUGUAUCUUUAAAAUAUUUCUCAAGCGCAUUUCAUUCCUUCUUGAUGUUUUCGAUUCUUUGGCAUCUAUUGCAGUUUUUCAUAUAUGCAUAAACAUCUUUGAAUAAUGUAGGCCAAAAGAACCUAGCUUGUACAAUCUUUGCUGUUGCACAUGAACCACCAAAGUGUCGCCCACUUAGAGAUGAAUGACAGUGGUAUAAAAUCUCGUCAAUCUCACUUCUAGCUAUGCAUUUCCUAAUUAUGUUAUCUGCACAUUGUUUAAGCAAAAAUGGAUCUUCCCAAAAAAAAUACCUACUAUCAUGUAGGAAUUCCUUCCCUUGUUGGUAUGAUAUUUCUCGAGGAAUUAUUCUACAUGCUAAGUAAUUGGCAAAAUUAGCAAAUCAAAGUGUUUCAUAGAUUUGUCUUACCUCAAAGAUAUGUUCAUUAGGAAAAUUCUCAUUAAUUAGAAUAAAUGAAGAAGUUACCUCAUUUUGUUCAAACUUUGACAAAUGAUUGGCUGCCUGAUUUUCAACGCCUUUUCUAUCUUGGAUCUCAAGGUCAAAUUCUUGGAGCAAAAGUAUCCAUCAAAUUAGCUUCAGUUUAGUAUCUUUCUUCGUGAGUAAGUACUUAAUGGCAGCAUGAUCAGUAAAUACUAUAACUUUGGUACCUACGAGAUAUGAACGGAACUUGUCAAAAUAAAAAACUAUAGCAAAAAGUUUUUUUCAGUUAUGUAUAAUUGAUCUAGGCUCUUGUUAAAGUUCUGUUUGCAUAGUAGAUAGGGUAAAACCCUUUGUUCCUUCUUUGACCCAUCACAGCUCCAACAGCAAAAUGGCAUGCAUCGCACGUCAACUCAAAGGGCAUGUUCAAAUUAGGUGUGAUAAUUAUUUGGGCUGAAAUUAACCGAUUUAAAUUUUUUUAAAAAAACAUACAUAAAACUUUAAUUUUUUUUUUUGAAAAAUCCUUCAUAAAUCUACGAUAAAAACCAGCAUGACCUAAAAACUUCUAACUCAUUUCACUCUAACUAGAGGCGAUAAUCUUUCAAUUACGUCCAUCUUUGCUUUAUCCACUUCGAUUCCCUUUUUGAUAAUUUUGGGCCCUAAGACAAUUUCCUCCUUAACCAUAAAAUGACACUUCUCUUAGUUAAGGACGAGAUUCAUCUCCUCACAUCUUUUGAGUACCUUAGCCAAAUUAUUCAAGCAAAUAUCAGAAGUAUUACAAAAAAUAGAGAAAUCAUCCAUGAAAACCUCAAUAUAAUUUUCAACCAUAUCAAUGAAAAUUUUCAUCAUACAUCGCUGAAAUGUGGCAGGUGCAUUACAUAAGCCGAAAAACAUUCGCCUAAAAGUAAAUAUACCAUAUGGAUAGGUAAAAGUAGUUUUAUGUUGGUCUUUUAGGACUACAACUAUUUGCUUGUAUCCCGAAUAUCCAUCUAAAAAGCAAUAAAAUUCGUUACCUGCCAGUCGACCAAGCAUUUGAUUCAUAAAAGGUAAAGGAAAAUGAUCAUUACGAGUGGCUUUGUUUAACUUUCUAUAGUCAAUACAGAUUCUCCAGCCCGUGAUAGUUCCCGUCGGGAUUAACUUGUUUCGUUCAUUUUCGAUGAUCGUGAUUCCACCUUUCUUUCGUACAUGUUGCACCGUAUUUACCCAAUAACUAUCAGAGAUGGGGUAAAUAAUUCUCGCAUCUAACCACUUAAUUACUUACCUCCUUCUGAACCACUUCUUUUAUGAUAGAGUUAAGUCUCCUUUGCCCAUCAAUCUUACCUUUUUCACUUUUCUCUGAAAUAAUUUUAUGCAUACAGAAGGAAUGACUUAUACUUCAUACGUCAGCAAUUGUCCAACCAAUUGCCUUUUUUAAAAUUCUUUAAAACAACAAUCAAUUGCUCCUCUUGAUAUUCUAUUAAGUCCACUAAAAUAAUCACAGGCAAAGUAGAACUAUUACCAAGACAAAUGUAUUUUAAGUGAGACGGAAAUACCUUUAUUUCAAGUUUAGACGGUUCCUCGAUUGACAAUCUGGGUUGUGCAAAUUCUCGAACUUCUAAAUUUAGUAAUUUGAACCGCGGUGGUUGAAUAUAACUCCUCGAAUCGGCUUUUAUCAAAGCCAAACCUUGAUUACCUUUUUCAUCUUUGAAUGGUUCAGACUCUAAAACGUUCUCCAACAGAUCUUCUUUAGAAUUAUUUCCCAUAGAAUCUAAUUCCUCCAUUACUGAACACUCUUCCAUUAAAUCGAGAAAUUUCAUUACCUUCAUAACGUUAAACGUUACCUUAUCGUCUUGAACUCGCAUAGUGAGUUUGCCUUUUUGCACAUCUAUCAACGUUCUUCUCGUGGCUAGGAAAGGUCUCCUUAGGAUGAUCGAAACUUCUUUGUCUGCUUCAAACUCUAAAACAAUGAAAUCAAUAGGAAAAAUGAAUUUUUCGACUCUUACCAAAACAUCAUUGAUCUUUCCUUCAGGAUAUGCUAAUGAUUGAUCUGCAAGUUGAAGUGUCACAGUAGUAGGUCUUACUUCACCUAUUCCUAACAAAUUGAAAAUAGAUUUGGGCAUCAAGUUGAUACUUGCUCCUAAGUCAUACAAAGCUUUACCGCAAUAUGAUUCACCAAUGUUGCAAGGUAUCAUAAAGCUUCUAGGAUCCUUUAGUUUCGGAGGUAGCUUGUUCUGUAAAAAUGCACUACACUCCUUCGUCAAAGAGAUAGUCUCAUACUCACUCAGUCGUUUCUUCUUGGACAAGAUAUCCUUCAUAAAUUUCACAUAGUUGGGCAUUUACUUUAAAGUCUCCACCAAUGGGAUGAUGUUUAAUUGCUUUAAAACAUCCAAGAACUUCUUAAAUUGUACCUCUUAUUUAUGCUUAUUUUGAUGAAAUCUUUAAGGAUAUAGAACUCUAAGUUGAUAUGGAGAACUUUUCUAAGGAGGUAAAUCUGCAAAAGUAGGUGUUAGCUUUUCAGAAUUCACUAGUUUAGGGUUCACCUCAUCAGAUUUUUUAGCAUCUAAUUUUUCUGUUGUAGGAACUUCAAUUAUUGGUUGACUUUCCUCGUUUUCAGUAGGUUCAUCUUCAACCACAAUCUUUUUUUGUUCUGAAAUCUUACCAUUUUGUAAUUCUACCACUUUGCAAUGCUUCUUACCCAAAUUUUUUAAAUUUUCUGUGUCACUCGUCAAGGCUCCUUGUGGUCUACUACAAAGCUCAAUAGCUAACUGACCCAUUUGGUUCUCCAGAUUCUUUAGUGUUACUAUUUGACUUUGGAUCAUUACUGUUUGACUUUGGAUCAAUGCGUCAUUUUUUGCCAUAUACUCCUUCAACAAGUCCUUCAAAAUGUUUGAUGAUUCAGGUUGAGGUGGUUUUGGGGCUUGUUGGUUAAAACAUUACUUUUGGUUGGGACUAUGUUGCAUUUGAUUGUUGUUCAGUCAAUUUCCUUGGUUACUCAAAGAAAAUUUCAAAUGGUUCCGCUAUGAAGGAUUGUAGAAGUGGGACUACGGUCAUUAUCCACUUUUAUUUUGAUAUUGAUUCCUUACGUAAUAAACUAUUUCGAGGUUUGAAGGGAAAUUCUUGAAAGAAUGGCCAUCCCAUAGUAUACACAAGAAACUACUUCAUAUUGACUUGGUGAUUGAGCUGUAAAACUAUUCAGUGCGUCCACUCAUGCACUUCAGCUACUUGUCUUCCGGUAACUGCUCGAUUUAUCGAUAAUUGGUAAUUGUUGCUUGCGAUCCUCUCAGUAAUCUCGUAAGCUUCAUUAUAAGACUCAAAUAAAAUCGUACCAUUCGUAGAAGAAUACACCAUUAAUCUUGUAUGUGAGUUGAGACCGUUAUAAAAUGUCUCUAAUUAGAUAUAAUGAGGAAUACCAUGAUGAGGACACUUACAAAGUAAUUUCUUGAAUCUUUCCCACACAUUGUACAAAGAUUCGUCAUCCAAUUGUUGGAAAGUUGUUAUCUUAUUACGCAACUUUGUGUUCUUACUUGGUGAAAAAUAUUUUACCAGAAACUUUUUUGCUAAUUCUUACUAAGUAAAUAUUGAACUUGGUGGCAAUAAAUUCAGCCUUGCUCCUGCUCGAUGUCGUAACGAGUACAGAAAUAGUUUUAACCUCAGUGCGUCUUUAGUCACACUAGCUAACUUAAAUAAAUCACUAACCUCUAUGAAGAAUCGAAGGUGUAACUGUGAAUCUUUUGUGGGCAUACCACUGAACUUGUCUACCGUUUGGAGCAUUUGAAACAUCACUGGUUUCAAUUUGAAUUGGGGUGCCUCGAUAUCUAGCCUUCUAAUUGUCAGAUUUAACUCAUUGAAGAUUGGCACAACAUAUUGUCUGAUGGCAUGAUCCCUAUAAUUAGCAAUAAGGAUUGAGUUGUGCACUUGAUUAACUCUAUUACCUUGUCCAUCAUUUUGAUUUUCAAGGUGCAUCUCAGUUUGUCUUUGAGCAAAUCUCUCACUUCUUUUUUGUCUAAAAGUCUACCCAAUUUCAGGUCUAUGGGUAAUAAGUUAAUGAUUCAAUCUAUGCUCUUAAAACACCUAAAAAUAAAUCACAAAAAAAUAAAAAAAGUAAAGAAUAAAUUAGGAAAGUUAGAAAUUAAAUAAAAUAAUAUAAUAUAAGAACCAAAUUGUAAAAAUAAUUUCACAAAAAAUAAUUAAGGCAACAGUCCUCGGCAAUGGCCCCAAAAACUUGUAACGGGAUUUGCACAAGUGUACGUAGUCGUUCAAGUAAUAAGUAAAAAUGAGUUAUCGUCUCUAUAGGGACUGUAUAAGCUUAACCAAUUAGUUGCAAAAUUAUAAUUUACAAUUUGAUGUAAAAACUCAAUAAUUUGGAUGGUAAUGAUUAAACUAAGUAAAAUUAAUUAGAUGCAAAGAUUGAUCCCUAUGCAAUUCUAAUCUAGAUGCAAUUUACCUAAAUGUAUGAAUAAAUUACUUUAGCAACAAAAACAAUCAACAUUAAAUGGGCUAGGAUAAUUAUAUUUAUUAAUCAAUUUACUUUCAUCAUGCUUAACAUGUUCGGAAUUACUUCCAUGACAACUCAAUCUCUUAUGGGUUUGGAAACCAAAUUAAGUCCUCUCAGAUCUUUUACUUAGUGAAAUAUGCAUUUUACUGAUCAUAUUAAACUAAAGGGUUGUUUAGAAUUCAUGCAAGGUCACAGGGACAUUUACAUUUGCAACAGUUUAAUUACAUAAACCUAAAAACCGUGCAAGAUAAUAGAUCUAACUAAAUAUAUUAUGAACCUUAACUUAGUUGGGUUUAAUGACCUAAAUUGAGCAUUGCACUUUUCAGUUAUGCAUCUACUGGGUGUCGUCUGGUUAGGAUCGCUCAGCUAAUCUGAGUACACUUAAGGUGAGUUUGGAUGAGCGGUGUGUUUACCUUCGGUGAGGUUAAAAAAAGCGGUGGCGGUGAGAUUAGUUACUGUAGCAGUGAGAUUGGAUACUGUAGCGGUGAGAUUAAAAACAAUGGUGGAGUGUGUGUUUGGAUUCAAACGCAGCUGUAGCGGUGAGAUGAGAAUCAAAAAUGACUAUUAAGGACAUCAGAUUAGAACUGAUAUAUAAUAUAUUUUUUUUAAAUUAUUUUAAUUUUUUAAAAUUAUUAAAAUAUGUGAAUUUAUAAAUUCAUUUAAUAAAAUAUUAAAAUGUAUCUUCUAAUAUUUUAAUGAAUUAUAUAAUCAAUUUAAAUUAUUUAUUAGAUAAACGCACCGCCUAUCCAAAGGGAGCCUAUACAGUUAACGCCAAUAAUGCCUUAAUCGACUUGUUUAUUUUAGAUGGCUUUUAAUCCCUUUUCUCAAAAUUUCCUAAGAUGCAAGUAUAAAUUGCUAUAUUUGCUAUAGUUUAUAUAGGUAUAAAUUUCAAAUUUAUACACGAAUUUUGAUCCAAUGUGCAAUUUAAUACAUAAACUUUGAUUCAAUGUAAUUAAAUAUAUUUUUUAUAAUUUAUAAUGUAUUUAUUUUUUAAAAUAUAGUUUUGAAUUUUUUAAAUUUAAAAUUUUAAUUAAUUACUGGUAUUACAUCCACGUACAUGCCCCAUCAACAAAAGUAAAUUUUUCUAUCAAUUUUGAGAUUUUACCAAAUAAUGUAAGUUUAAGGGAGUAAAAAUGAAAAAUAGAAAUUUUCUUUUAAAUAGCCAUUGUGCCUUUAAAUAAUAAAGCAAACUUUCAAAUCAGACAUCUGCCUGAGCGCCGAUUGACCCAAAUUCCUUUCCACAAAUUUUUGAUCUGUUUCAUUUACGGCCCAAAGCAGAUAAAAGACGCAGCAAAACCAGAAAUAACUAUUUUCUAGUACCAUUUUUAAUCUCAACAUGAAAAUUAAAAAAGAAAAAGAAAGUAAGAACAUAGAAUAUAUAUGUGUAUAUAAAUCAGUCAUCGGCAACCCAACUCAACUUUUCCUUCAGUACUGAUGCUUGUGUUGGUAAAAAGCUUCUGAAGAUCAAUGUAACCGAUGAUGGUAUCUUCGAAAACUGCAUCUUCAAGCUGCGCAUUGUCGAAUGUUGAACCAGAUAACACUGUGUUCUUGAAUAUAGCUCCUUGCAGAUUCGCUUUUCCGAAAUUAACUCAAUCCAAAACCGCAUUUGAGAAGUCUGUACCUGUGUUCAUUAUAUUUUGGAUCAUUUCCCAUUUUUAUGCUAAACUUAUUCACUAUGAUUUCCAAUACUCAACUUGGAUGUGUGUUGAAUACACACAUGUACUCGGUACGUGUAUGCUUAAUUUUUUCUAAAUGUUUUCAUGUAUUUUGAGGAUCAUACUCAUAUAUCUGUAUCUAAAUAUAUACGAGUAAUUGUGCCAAGUUUAUCAAAUAGAUAGUUUGCACAAAAUUAUAAUUGUCUCAAAAACACUGAGUUACGAUAAGAUGUAUGAUUGUAGAAAAUGCAAAACAUAAAGAAGAUUUACCUUUGAAGCUAGCUCCAAUAGCAUAAGCCUUUGACAUCACAGCUUCAGACAUGUCUGCACCAUCAAACUUAGCAUCCGACAUAAGUGUAGCCGCAACAGAUUUCCCCUUCAAGUUCGAUUUCUCGUUAGUGUAAUCGCAGAAGCGUAGAUCGAGCGGCUUAUUGUGCACACCAUUUGCCUGACAUAUGGUGUUACCAACGAAUGCACGCUCGCAUCGGUUCGGCUCCGUUGACAACGGAGGAAGCCUCUGCAUGACAAUGCUUUAGUAAUUAGACAUUUUUAGUAGCCUUUUGAUAGUGUUAAUUUGAAUCGUCAAAUGGAUAUAGGAACAUUUAUUCCCCAAUCCCAAUAGUCAUCCUUACCCGAGCAAGCCAAUUACUAAAUGACCUAAGGUAACUUGGAUAGACAGUUUGAUUAAAUUCACUAGGCUAAUUUACGUAUGAAUUCCAUUAUUUCUUCUUUCAGGCUAAGAUACAAAUAGCUACCGUGCAACAAUUUAUGUGUUCCUGGCAAUUCUUAACCCAGAAAGAGUGGUGAAGGUUUUCAACCUGAUUGGCA
rnacentral:lncRNA from 1 species